UAAGUUUAUAAAAUUUUAUUAAUUAACAAAUUACAAUUAAUUUACUAAAAAUAUAGCAAAGUCGAAACAGAGUUAAUUUGAUGGUUGAAUUGCAUAUACCAAGUGAAACAUAAAAUCCGCUUCUGUUAUACAAUAUCAUUCUUAUUAUUUUUCCUAAUAGGCAAUAUAUAAUACGUCAAAAGUUAAGCCGAGUGACAGUCCAUAGCGAUUUUGACUUAUCAAUUAUUUACAAAAUACGUACUUUACAACAAAUAAUAAAACUCCAUUGUUGAUUUUGAACUCAAAAACAUAGAAUGUUUUAUUAGUUGUUGGCUGGAUGUGGUACCUAGUCAAAUAGUUCAAAAUUCGUAAUUUUGUAUACGACCUGCACGGCCAUGAAAAAAGAUAGUUAUUGAGCUGAAUUGAAACGAGCUUUCUAAUAUUAAAUUGGCAACAAUAUUUUGGAGAUCUUUAAGAGUCAAAAAUGGAAAAUUAUAUGCAAAUGAAGAUGAUGGCGAAUAAAGAACUGGGUAAGGAAGUCUUGCCACAUAUUUUAAAACGUCAAAGCUCUGCUAAUGAUAAUGUGAAGAAAUUUUCACCAGAAAAAAAAGUCUGCUCAGAACAAAAGACUGAAAGUGGUGGGAAACCAUCCUCGAUUGACAACCACUUUGAUGACAACUCUGCGGAGGGAACAGAACCAUAUAACAUACCUAAGAAAGUGAAAAGAAAGGAUUUUGUUCCAUCAAAGGAGAUACAAAUUGAAAAUAUUCCCAUAUUUACAUCACCCGAUUCAUCACCAAUGAAAGUGUCUGUGGUGUCAGCUAAGAUGACUCCCAUCAAACAUACCAAGCAAAUAUCCAUAAUAAAGAGGAACCUUUACAUUGAGUAAUGAAAAAUUUCCACAUAAUGCUAUAUACAAAAAAAAAUAUAUCCUUAAGAUAAUUGCAUUUUUCCCUUUAUAAAUUUUUUUAUGAAGAACAAUCUUGAUUUAAAGAACGGUUCCAAACAUAACUAUCUCGAAUCUUAUGUAGCAUUUAGGUUUUAGUAAAAAUUUAGUUCUAGGUCUUUGUAAAUACUAUUUUUAUUUCUUAAGUAAACUGUAACAAUCUCCAAGGUGUUAUAUAACAUUUUGAAUCAACCCACUAACUUGCCAGUGUUAUAGCAAUAGCAUAAUGAAUAUUGAUGUAGUAGUUUUGAAAUUUUCAAUAUUAGAAACUUCAAUGUAUGUUAUAGACCUAUUAAAAAUGUGACGAGUAAAAA